GAAAUGUGGCGCCCAGAACUGGACACAGUACUCCAGCUGAGGCCUAACUAAGAAGGGAAGCUGCACCAAUGUGUUCCGUGAAAGGGGGCUCUGUACUAGUCUGAAAUGCAUUUGUACAAAUGGGAAGGUUGGGUUUGGGGUAGGCAAUAAAAUGGCAAUGUUCACCAGGGUUUGCCCAUGACGGGCCACCAGCAUUAUAUUUACUUGCACCUUUGGGUUCCAGCAAUCACAGCUCCUGUUGGCGGCUGAUUGCUGCUGCCGGCCAACAGGAGUGAUAGGAAGUGGUGUCCUGGUCUUUGCCAUUACCACUGGGCAGGAAUGGUGAUCCACAGCAAACAGGAGCUAUGAUCGCUGGUACCUGCAGAGGUGCAGAUAACUAUAGUGGCAGCGGUGGCCCACCAGGUGCUAACUUUGGCAAAACACCACUGUUUUAUUGUUCCUCCCCCAUGCUAGCUGAUGAUUUUCAGCCAAAUUUUUAGGAGAUCUGGCUGUGAGGGGGAUGGAUCGCAGAAUACAAGCAGAUUAGCUGUUUGGGAUUGCAACAUUCAAUACCCUGUUUUGAUCUGUGUGUGGAUCUAAGAUCACGAUUUUGCUCAGUAAGACCCUUAAAUGCCUACAAUUCCAAUGGCAAAUGAUAAUGAACAAUCCUUGCAGACUUCUUGCAAGAGCAAACAUGUUAAAGAGAUGGAUUGCCUCAGGCAGGGCAUUUAGAAGGUCUUUCACUUCUUGCUUGGUAAGUGCAUGUUCGUGUUCCCAAAUAAAUAUUCCUUCUCUGAAAUAAGCACGCUGUUCAGGAAAUGUUCAACUGAAAUGAAUUACAUUAACUUAUGAGAUGCCUGUUUGGAACAUGCCUCUUCAAGAGGAAAUUCAUAAUAAUGAACAGUGCUCCUCUAAGAGAUGUCAGAUAAUGAGCUGACUGAAAAGCAAAGAGAGGACUCAGCAGCAAUGUAUUUAAACCUGUGCUCCAGAUACGUGUACUGAUGUCCAGUUUAUGCACAUUCUGGGCUGGAUAUUUCUCCCAUGGACAUCAAGGGUUUUUAAAUUGAUGUCAGUGGGAGCAGAAGCAGAUGCUUUAUACUUAUAGCCUUGAUGACAUUCAUAUUUAAAUUGCAGAAGCAGUUAUAGAUGCCCAUAAAUCGGCACUAAGCCCCAAAAGACAUACACCGAACAACUAUUAGCCUGGUUUGACUGGGCAACGUGUGUGUACAACAGUGCUGUCUGCACUUCUUAGCCUGAAGGCGAAAUGUAUUAUUUAAAAAAGGCCAAGGGCCCACAGUCAAUAACCUGGAACAAAUUGCCUUCCCUGUAUUUUUGGCUCUAAGAUGGCACUACGAGCACAGGAACCACCCACAGAUCUCCUGAGAGGAUCUUACCAGUGGACCAAUUCCUGGUGUGGCUGGGUCCUAAACUUCCUUCCUCACAUUGUGGCUCAGUGAGAGUAGAGAGGGGUUUAAGUUGGGGAAGAGGAGUAGCUAGAGCUUGCAUUCCUGGAGUUGGCUGGGAGAGAGAAUCAGGAAGCCAUACUGGAUUGUUAUUUCUCAGCUUGUCUUCAGCUCUCCCUGUCCUUGGCUUCCUGCCUCGAGUGACUGUUGGGGAAGACAGCUGUCUUUUACUAAGUGCCCUCAUGGACUCAGUUCAGCUCCUAUCCUGCUUUCCCUGCAGCUUUCACAACCUGGCAGCUAGGCAGAAAUGGAAUCAGCCAAAGCUAUCCUCUUCUCCCUCCCCUGCAGUGCAAUAGGAAACCAGCAGAGGACCCUCUGAGGAUCUGCAAAUAUGGGAUGUAAUCAGCUCCAUCUUUACGUCAUCUGAAGAAGUGGGUUGUACCCAUGAAAGCUCAUGAUACCAUCUACAUGUUUUGUUAGUCUUUAAGGUACUAUUAAACGCAUGAUGUGCUUUCGGACUCACAAUGACAACCAAAGGCUUAGAAGGUAUAAUUGUACUAUGUACUGUUUCAUCUUCAGAUACACUGGGACUGGCUGCAAAACUGGUUUUGUGGCACUGGAAAUGUUUAUGCCUGCAUUGUAAACACAGCUCAGUAUACGUGACAAACCACAAAAUUCAACAGCACAAAGGUAAAAGACUGGGAAUGUUCAAAGAAAAGAACUUUAAUCCAGAUAAAAUACAUGUGUGUGCUGCCUCCUCUACCCCACCCCAUAGAUAACUUUCUUGCAGAAUGGUAAAAAUGGCACCUUCUCUGGGGGUGAGCUUUGGAACAGACUGGGCUUUUCAGGAAAUCCACUGACGCACAGAGGGAAUGGUUCCUGCAUGCAUCCAUGAACAAAAACUGAAAUUGUCCCUUGCUGUGGCUUGGGAAUGGGAGAAAGUAAUUUUUUGACUACAUCCUUCACCUUCCUCUAAGGGCUUGGGACAAUCCAUCCUGAAGAAAGCCCCUGAUACCAAACUUAAAUACAAAAAUCCAUUUGUGGAAUAGCUGGAAUAGUUAUUUUCUUUCUUACUGACUAGUGAUUUGAUGUGUCAUUAUUCAUGAUUAUUUUCAGUAGGAGACAGAUGUAUGAACUCUCAUUUUCUAUGGAAAAUAAUGUAUGGAGCCAGCAUCACCAAGCCAUGAUGAGAUAAACGGGCACUACAGGAAAUUCAAGAUGGAAAAGAGCCAAAGCCAGGUCACUGCAGAGCUGAAACUCGUCAAUCUAAAUUUCUGUUUAAGAGGCCCUCCUUUAAGACAGAUUCUUCCAUUCAGAAGAAUUCUUUUAAAAACACCAAUCUUAAAAGAGGUUUAAUUAAUAAUCUUUGAUUUGACAAUAACCAGUGGCAGAACUUGAAUGCAUACUUAAUAGGACUGCAGCUGCACUCUGUCAGCCAUUUUUAUUGGAAGCUAUAGAUAAAUGUAUGAUUUCUUCCUUUUUGUUGUAUUUGUUAUCAAAGGUUAUGGGCCUUUUAAGGAGUUGGGUGGGAAGUGGUCAGUUUUUAUAGUCUGCAAUGUACAAGAGGACAGACUAGAUGUUCAUCAUGGUUUUGGAGCCAGCACUGCUAGGAAUAUAUUAAGAAACACCACGAGAAACUCAGGGUGGGUCUAUAAUAGGGGGUAAGUUCAAAUUAAGAGACGCAAUUCCAGCUAUGUGAAAUGCAUAGCUGGACUUGAUGUACCUUAAUUCAAACCACAUCACUGUCCCCACAGUGUUAGGUCAAUGGGAGAAAUACUCCUGUUGACUUCCCUUUCUCCUAGCGAGGAAUAGAAGCACUGGUGUCAACAGGGGUGCUCUCAGCAUUCAAUUUAGUGGAUCCUUAUUAAACCAACUACAUUGAAUGCCCGAAGAUUGUCCUCCAGAGCAUCAAUCCAUGGUAAGUAUAGGAGUGGCCUCAGGGUAGACAAGGACCAGUGCACCAGUUCACAGCAGAGUUGAAGGUCUGUCUGAUUCCAUUUACAUAGCUAAUUUAAAAAAAUGAAAUCAGGUAUAUAAUACAAAUAAUAUCCUGAGACUAAAAAAGAGAUGGUAUGUCAACACAUAGCAGUUGGCUAAUUGCUAGGCCAUCAAUGAAAUCCUUUCUUGUGGAGUGUGCUGGGACGUGUGUUAGCACUUGUCUGGGAAGGAACGAGGGGAAACUAUCCUCAGAGCAACCAUACAAAUGAAAAGUUUAGAAGAUGAAAAGUAGAACAUAGGAAUGAAAAAAGCGGGAGAGAUGAUUGUAAAGAAGAAAUAACAUGCAAAGAGAAUAGAACAAUAGCACAGAUAUAUCAUUUUAUCAAAAUAAAAUGCCAGUAAACCUUGCACUCAACUAAAAAGAUCUUUCAUUACAUAAGAUGUUCACAUUACAGGCUCACAUAAGCCCCAGUUCUGCUACUGUUUCUAUGAAAAUCCCCCUGUUGGAGUCAAUUGUGUCUGCCCAAGCAGGAGAAGUUGCUGGAUCAAUAUUAUAAAUAUGCUGUGAAAAUAAAUAUGGAUUUUAUGGGCUUGAGUCUUCAAAGUGCUGGAUACUUUACACACCUAUUGAUUUCCAGGUCAGCAUCUAAUGUACAAGUAAGAAUUGAGGAAUCAAUGGAGUUGCAAUACAUGGAUCAAUGGAAAGUGAUGCAUUAGGAGCAGUUAAGAGAACUCACCGUCUCAGAGGAUCAGGUCAUAUGUAUUCAUUUUUAUUAAUUUAACGCUAUUGAACAUAUAUUAUUCAACACACAUAACAAACUAGUGAAGGGCAUGAAUCUGAAUGCUGAAAUUGCCAAAUAUUUCUGAUACAGUUUUACGAACAUUAUUAGAACUUUGCUUUUCUAUAUCCCAAAUGUGGUGUGGUGCCACAUUCCAAAACCCCCUGAAUCAUUCAUUAUGGAUUAACUACACCAAGCCUAUGUCUACAUUGGCAAGAUUUUGCACAAAUACUUUUAACGCAAGAGUUUU